AUUCACUCAGCUUCACGCCUAUCUCUGGUGUUCUUGCUGGCAUUCAAGGGUUCCCUGCAUUACAGAAAAAUGUGUUCCCGUGAGCCCCGAGGUUGUCAUGACAGUGGCAGUUCCUCCUGCCAUGAUACCGGAAGCUCCUCCUGCCACGACACCGGAAGCUCCUCCUGCCAUGGCAGCGGGGGAGGGACAUGCCAUGAUGUGAAACCUCUGCCUCAGUGCCCAACCCCUGAUCCUUGCCAAACCACCACCAUCCCUUGUCAGCAGCAGACCAAGCAGCCCUGCCAGUGGCCACCGCAGAAGCACCAGAAGUAAAGGAGGACAAGAAAAAAGAAGUCCGUCUCAGAAGCUGAGCUUGCUUCUCGCUCUCAUUGAGCUGGAAAAGCUUUGCCACCUUACCUCUUUCAUAAAUUGCACAUCCUCUCUCCUCCGAUGGGUACUGUAGCAACCCAGGGUGUUAGUAACAACCUCUAAGAAAUGUGGUUUGUUCCUGCAUGCUCAGAUAAUUUAAUCCUGCCUCUGUCUCUGGUCAGAAAUGCCAGACAUUAAAUUUUACAAUCCGUGA